UUCUGGAGGACGGGAAUGAAAAUGGCGGCCUCCUGGUCUCUGCCCUGAGAAGCCGAGAGCCCGGGGCCCCACUCCUCAGUGCGCCCUCAGAGAACAGCACCCAAUAACUCUGUCUGCCUGACUCCAGGUCGCGCUCCAAGCUCACCGAGCCUGUGACCAGUUCAAGAUCACAAUGCUUUGAAACUGGAGCUCAGUCACAAGGAAAAGUUCAGAAGGAACUCAAACACCUGGAAGCUAAAGAACACCUUGGUUAAGAAUGCUUGGAGCAACCAGGAGAUCAAAGAAGAACUGAAACAAUUCAUGGAAACCAAUGAGAAUGAAGACACUUCUGUCUAAAACCUAUGGGAUACAGCAAAGGCGGUCCUAAGGGGGAAAUACAUAGCCAUCCAAGCCUCCCUCAAAAAAAUUGAAAAAUCCAGAAUACACCAGCUGUCUCUACACCUUAAAUAACUGGAGAAUCAACAACAAAUCAAACCAACUCCACACAUAAGAAGGGAAAUCAUCAAGAUUAGAGCUGAGAUCAAUGGGGUAGAAACCAGAGAUACAGUAGAACAUAUCAAUGAAACUAGAAGCUGGUUUUUUGAAAGAAUCAAUAAGAUCGAUAAACCAUUGGCCACACUAAUCCAAAAGAAGAGAGAAAGCCCAAAUUCAUAAAAUUAUGAAUGAAAAGGGAGAGAUCACAAUGAACACCAAGGAAGUAGAAACAAUCAUCAGAAGUUAUUAUCAACAGUUAUAUGCCAAUAAGCUUAGCAACCUAGAUGAAAUGGAUGCAUUCCUGGAAAACUAUAAACUACCAAAAUUGAACCAGGAAGAAAUCGACAACCUGAACAGACUGAUAUCUAGUAACGAGAUUGAAGCAGUGAUCAAAAACCUUCCAAAAAACAAGAGGCCAGCAUCUGACGGAUUCCCUGGGGAAUUCUACCAAACUUUCAAAGAAGAAAUAACACCUAUUCUCCUGAAGCUGUUUCAAAAAAUUGAAGCAGAAGGAAAACUUCCAGACUUUCUCUGAAGCCAGCAUUACCCUGAUCCCCAAACCAGGCAAAGACCCUACCAAAAAGGAGAAUUUUAGACCAAUAUCACUGAUGAAUAUGGAUGCUAAGAUUCUCAACAAGAUCCUAGCCAACAGGAUCCAAGAGCACAUUAAAAAUAUUAUCUACCAUGAUCAGGUGGGAUUCAUCCCUGGGCUACAAGGAUGGUUCAACAUUCGCAAAUCAAUCAGUGUGAUACAACCAAUUAAUAUGAGAAGAGAGAAGAACCACUGGUCCUCUCAAUUGAUGCAGAAAAAGCAUUUUACAAAAUCCAGCAUCUGUUCCUGAUUAAAACGCUUCAAAGUCUAGGGAUAGAGGGAACAUUCCUGAACCUCAUCAAAUCUAUCCAUGAAAGACCCACAGCAAAUAUCAUCCUCAAUGGGAAAAAGCUUGCAGCCUUCUUGUUGAGAUCAGGAACAAGACAGGAUGCCCACUUUCACCACUCUUGUUCAACAUAGUAUUAGAAGUCCUAGCAACAGCAAUCAGACAUCAAAGAGAAAUAAAAGGCCUCAUGAGUGAAUGAAUGAAAUUCUUCACGAAGUACUAAUUACUGAUGGACACCCUACGUCUAGCUGAUGUUUGAAAUCCCAACCCACACAGCCAGUUGUAAAUACAUGGCAACCACAGGAGAAAUACACAAUGGCGAAGGAACAAUUUAUUUUUCACUUCACUGCCCCUUUUAGCUCACAAAUGCUUGUUAAGAAAACAUAAGAAAUGGGGCGCCUGGGUGGCUCAGUGGGUUAAAGCCUCUGCAUUCAGCUCAGGUCAUGGUCUUAGGGUCCUGGGAUGGAGCCCCACAACGGGCUCUCUGCUCAGCAGGGAGCUUCUUUCCUCCUCUCUCUCUGCCUGCCUCUCUGCCUACUUGUGAUCUCUGCCUGUCAUAUAAAUAAAUAAAAUCUUUAACAACAACAAAAAAAAAAGAGGAAAGAAAGAAAGAAUCUCUUGGCUCCCCAGCCUUUAAAAAAAAAGAAAAACAAAAAUAAUUCUUCCUUGACUUUUUAUUUCCCAGGGCAGCACAGUUUUCUCUUAUUUUUCUCGGAUUCUUUUCCUUCUGUUCUAUAUUCCUCAGUUAGUUGGUACCAUAUAUAUCUCUGCAGGCAAAUUCAUAUUGUUUGAAACCAUGUGUGGCAUAAACCAAAAGUAAACUAUAGGUCUAUGCAGGGGAAAAUGGGGUUAAGAAUGAACAGAGGGAAAAUGCCUCCUCAGCUUAAAAAAUAAAGAGCAGUGUGUGCACACUGGGUGGCUCAGUGUGUUAAGCUUCCAAGCCCUGGUUUCAGCUCAGGUCAUGAUGAUCUCAGGGUCAUGCAAUCGAGCCCUGAGAUGGGCUGGAUGGAAUCUGCUUGAGAUUCUCUCUCUCCCUCCUCAUCUGCCCCUACCCCCUGCUCCUGUGUGCAUCUGCUCUGUCUCUCAAAUAGAUAAAAUCUUCAAAAAAAAAAAAAAAAAAGCAAUGAGGUUUCAUCUCCUCUUCUUUCAUUUCUUUCAUCACAAUCUCAACUAAGUUUUCCUUUCCUGAACCGUUAUUACACUUGACCAAGCUAUAGCCAGCUGAAUAUGAAGUUAUAUUCCCCACAAAAUUGAGAAGGUUAUCAGAAACACUGCCUAUCUCACACUAAAUUUUUCCCGUGACCUGCUGAGACCCUGGCUUGUGAGUGCGGAUACAGUAGAUAACUCUCUUUGUCGACCAAAUAAAGCAAAAAAAAAACAAAAAAAAACAAAAAACAAAAAAACUACUUUAGCAGAGAAGAUGAUCUUUGAAGUUUGCUGAAACCAGCAAAACCCAGCAAGUCCUCACUGUGAAAACUAUUCUUACCUUCCAAAAGCAUUUAAAAUAGCAACUAUUUCCUGUUGAGUGAGUUGGAAGCUUUAGAUGGGCUGUUUUCUGGAAGCUUUUGGAUUUCUUUUUCAGAGAAUAGUAUCUUCAGGGCAGUUCCUAAACGCUGAGUCUAAAGAAAAUAGAUAGACAUAACAAUUAACCUAAUAAUUACUAUAAAGGCUGAAAGGAAUACGCAGCCGCUGUGAUGAGAGUCAUGAAAUUCGCGUGAACUGAACUUCUCACCAAAAUGUUAAACUGCGUAAUACAGUUUCCACCUCCUCAUACUUAUGCAUGAUAAAUUUAUCUUAACUGUUAAGGAACCUGAAGAGUUCAACAUUUGUUGGACAUAAAUUACUAAAAUGCCUUUUCUUACCCUAGAAAAUAUCACAUUAGAAUUACAAUAUUUAAUAUGUAACCUUGAAAGCAUUCUUGACAGCUCCUAGCAAUUCAAAACUUAGAAAUUAUUAGUGAUAACUACACUUAAAAAUUUACCAAUUAUUAGAGCUAGAGAAGAUGUAUUAAAAUAAUUAAAAUAAUUCUGUCUCCUGAUUUUUCUGACUUAUCAUCUUUGUGAGAAAGUAAGACAAAAUAUCAAACAAUCCUUUUUACACUGAAUACAUAUAGAAAGGGGCCUUCUUGGCACAACUUUCUUUGUGACUAGAUGGUCUUCUUUUGAUCACUAAAUUAAAUUCAGUGAUGGAAGCCUGAUAAUUAAGCCUUUUUAUAUUUUAUUUUUAUAUGGGUCUACAAAAUACUAAUAUUCUAUUUAUAACCAACAACUUCAGCAAUGAAUCUCAAGACUGUACCAAUAGAAAUAGAUACUAUAAAGCCAGAAUCAUUAGCACAGAAUAGGGAAAACAUUCUUACACAUACAAUACAGAUUUAAUAUAAUCAGCUUUUACAUCAAUAAAGCAGAAAUGCCAUACUUCAGAUCUUCUUUUUCAACGAACAGUGAGGGUAUUAUAAUAAAAACUUGCAAGUUCCCAGCAGGAAUAUUUAAGGUUAAUAAUAGUUUUAAAACCGAAAACAAAACACAAACCUGCAAUUUUCCCUAUAAUCUGCAUUUGUCGCAUCCAACACAGUCCAUUAUAUGGGAGAUAUUCUUGAAAUGUAAUUCUAACAUGCAGAAAAUAUUUUUAUUCUCAUUAGAGCUUUAUAAAUUAAACUGCAGUUGUAUGAUUUACAAGAAAUAAAAGCUCUGAAGACUAAUGAAUGUCUUGUGUUUUUCAACAGUCAAGAAGAAAAAUGAUUGGAUUUGCAUGGCAUAACAUGGCACUAAAACAACUAGCCACGGAAAUUCAUAACAUUUAUUCCACAUGCUGAUUGAACAAACUUUUUAUUGAGAUGCUACUCUGUGCAAAGCACCAACAAAGGCAUGAUGGGAAAAACAAAAGAAGUGAUCAUAUUAUUCAGCCACAAAAAAAGAAGGAAUUCUGCCACUCGCAAGCACAUGGACGGACUCUGAGGACCUCAUGUGGAGCUAAGUCAGCUGGAGAAGGACAGAUACUGUGUUCUCUUGCACGUGGAAUCUAAAAACAAAACCAAACCCCAAGCUCAUAGAUCCAAAGAACAGAUGGGUGGUUGCCAGAGGCAGGUGGUGGGGGGAAGUGGGCAAGACACGUAAAGGGUGUCAAAAGGUACCAGUUUCUAAGUCCUGGAACUGUCACAUUCAGCUUGUCAACUACAGUUAAUAACACUGUAUUUGAAAGUUAUAUAUUCUCAUCACAAAAGUAAAAAUUCUGUAAUUAUGGG